CGGCAAGGAAAUGCUAGGUUAACCCUUUUAUGAGUAGGAAGGACAGGGACUAUUGCUUGUCUUGGGAACGACUUGUGUCCCGGUCCUGAUACACUCCUUGUUCAUUAAUCUACAUGAGAUCGGCCAAGUCAUUGAGCCUCUCUUAUAACUCAGUUUCCAUAAAACAGAAAUGCUGAAGUGUUUCAGAAAUUGAGGCAUUUGAAGCAUGUACAAAAGGACAGAAAACAUAAACUCAUGCCUGGCAGAGAGCUUCUACUCUGAAGAAACAACAACCGAAGUGUCACAGGAUGAAUCUAUGCUAUUUGGAGAGGGAGUAUACAUUUAACUUGAAGCAAUCCCUGGAAGAAAAAUUCUACUAGCAGAGAUGCUCUGAGCAGAGAGAAAGCCUGUCUAUAUAGUGAAAGAAUGAAACCAAUACAUUGAAAAAAACUGAGAAGAGAAAGAGGUAGAGACUUCAUCUGAUACAAGCAUGCUUGAAACAAGAGACACCUGUAUGAUUCCAUCUUCCCAGGAGCUAGCAGGCAGUUCUUGUUGAGUUCAAGCCAGUUGAGACCAUCAACCCUUCAACUGAGCCUGCAUGGGUGCGUAAAGUGUGACCUUUUGAUGUCAAAGGGCCAAAACCUGCACCCUCCUUUCAUGCUAAUUCAACCAUUUUCUGAACAUGCAUCCUAUGAAGAGCCAUGUAGCUCAAUUAUGCUUGUGCAGAAACCCUGAUUACCUCACCUUUCCCACCUGCCAAUCACCUUUACCCAUACUUCACACCAUCCUGCUUUCUAUCCCGCUAAUUACCCCUAAGCCCUGUUUUCAGGGAGGUGGAUUUGCGAUUUGUUCUCCUUCUCCUUGCUCAGCAGCCUGGUAAGCAAUCUCACAAAAUAAAAUCUUUUCUUUUUUGCAAAACCCACAGUCCCAAUGAUUGGUUUGCUGUCCAUGAGCAAAAUGAAGCUGGUUUGAUAUCAG
rnacentral:lncRNA from 1 species